GGAUGGGUGGCCGAGUGGUUUAAGGCAACGGUCUUGAAAACCGUCGUGGGUGCAAGCUCACCGUGGGUUCGAAUCCCACUCUCUCCGCCA
rnacentral:tRNA from 1 species